AAUUAUAUAAUAUAAUAAAUAUAUUUUAUUUCCAAUAAAAAAAUUUAGUUAAAGAAUUAAUAUAAUUA
rnacentral:tRNA from 1 species